rnacentral:rRNA from 1 species
CAGGCCUAACACAUGCAAGUCUAACGAGAAGUUCCUUCGGGAGCUGUAAAAGUGGCGCACGGGUGAGUAACACGUGAGUAACCUACCCUGGAAACCGGGAUAACCUUGCGAAAGCGAAGCUAAUACCGGAUAAUAUCUUUGAUUCACAAGAGUUGAAGAUCAAAGGUGACCUCUUAACAAUGUUGCUGUUUUUGGAUGGACUCGCGGCCCAUUAGCUUGUUGGUAGGGUAAUGGCCUACCAAGGCGACGAUGGGUAGCCGGCCUGAGAGGGUGAACGGCCACACUGGAACUGAGACACGGUCCAGACUCCUACGGGAGGCAGCAGUGGGGAAUAUUGCGCAAGUCGGGGAAACCCUGACGCAGCGACGCCGCGUGAGCGAUGAAGGCCUUCGGGUUGUAAAGCUCUGUCAGAUGGGAAAGAAACGCAUGAAUCUCAAGUUAGGGUUCAUGCCUGACGGUACCAUCAGAGGAACGCCCCGGCUAACUCCGUG